rnacentral:tRNA from 1 species
AAGGGAGACCUAAUUCAGGUAGGAGACGAAAAAAAGUAGUCCCUACCAAGAAUCAAUCCCAAAAGGUCGGAGCGAGGCAAAAUUGGCUUUCAAACUAGGUUCUGGGUUCACAUAAGACCUGAAUCAGGAACAAGGGCUAUUAGCUCAGGUGGUUAGAACGCACCCCUGAUAAGGGUGAGGUCCCUGGUUCGAGUCCAGGAUGGCCCACCUGCACAGGUGGCAAAAACAAAGAAAAGAAGCUCCGAAUCAGCACCUUAUCUUACUCAUAUAGUAAGUGAGAAUGCUGGCUCUGAGUUCAGAGUCCAGAGGAACCUUGAAAACUGCAUAGAGCUAGGUGAAAAAGCCAAAAAAGAAGACCGCAA